UGAAGGUUUGCGAUGGAGGCUAAGAGAGCAAUAUACUGAGAAAUACCAGUAGUAAGAGAAAUACAAUUGAAUGUAGCAAAAUUUCUUCUGCUACUCGUAUUUCUCACUAUAUUGCUCAUCGGUUAAGCAGGACAUGGGUGUCGCCUUUCUUGAGCUCCAGCUUCUUGAUUAACUCAGUGCAUUGAACAGAUUUGUGGUUUCUUAAGUCGACCGUUUGUUUGUUAUCACUGUGGAUAACAGGAUUCAAUGCUUUCUUGAACGAUCAGCAAGAGAAGAAAGGUAUUAAGGCGCAAGACAAGAAAGGAUCGGAGGUGCAAGAAAAUAAUCCACAUCUUUGUGCAAAACCACUGGUGUAAUAAUCCACAUCUUUGUGCAAAACCACCGGUGUAAUAAUCGUAUCGGUGGUUCCGAGAGAAUAUUAUUGCAUGCAAUUUAUUAAUGAAACUGCUCUGAUUGUGUUGUGGUUUUCUAAGGCUGUUAUCCUUAGAUUGUUAUCCUUAGAUUUGGGUGGUGAA